GACGAACGCUGGCGGCGUGCCUAAUACAUGCAAGUAGAACGCUGAAGCAGGAGCUUGCUUCUCUGGAUGAGUUGCGAACGGGUGAGUAACGCGUAGGUAACCUGCCUUGUAGCGGGGGAUAACUAUUGGAAACGAUAGCUAAUACCGCAUAAGAGUAGAUGUCGCAUGACAUUUGCUUAAAAGGUGCGAUUGCAUCACUACCAUAUGGACCUGCGUUGUAUUAGCUAGUUGGUGAGGUAACGGCUCACCAAGGCAACGAUACAUAGCCGACCUGAGAGGGUGAUCGGCCACACUGGGACUGAGACACGGCCCAGACUCCUACGGGAGGCAGCAGUAGGGAAUCUUCGGAAAUGGACGGAAGUCUGACCGAGCAACGCCGCGUGAGUGAAGAAGGUUUUCGGAUCGUAAAGCUCUGUUGUAAGAGAAGAAAGAGUGUGAGAGUGGAAAGUUCACACUGUGACGGUAUCUUACCAGAAAGGGACGGCUAACUACGUG
rnacentral:rRNA from 1 species